rnacentral:rRNA from 1 species
GUCUAUGGCCAUGCCACCCUGAACAAGCCCAAUCCCGUCUGAUCUCGGAAGCUAAGUGGGGUUGGGCCUGGUUAGUACUUGGAUGGGAGACCACCUAGGAAGACCAAGUACUGUAGGUG